AGCGAACGCUGGCGGCAGGCCUAACACAUGCAAGUCGAACGAACUCUUCGGAGUUAGUGGCGGACGGGUGAGUAACACGUGGGAACGUGCCUUUAGGUUCGGAAUAACUCAGGGAAACUUGUGCUAAUACCGAAUGUGCCCUUCGGGGGAAAGAUUUAUCGCCUUUAGAGCGGCCCGCGUCUGAUUAGCUAGUUGGUGAGGUAAAGGCUCACCAAGGCGACGAUCAGUAGCUGGUCUGAGAGGAUGAUCAGCAACAUUGGGACUGAGACACGGCCCAAACUCCUACGGGAGGCAGCAGAGGGGAAUCUUGCGCAAUGGGCGAAAGCCUGACGCAGCCAUGCCGCGUGAAUGAUGAAGGUCUUAGGAUUGUAAAAUUCUUUCACCGGGGACGAUAAUGACGGUACCCGGAGAAGAAGCCCCGGCUAACUUCGUG
rnacentral:rRNA from 1 species